GUGGGGAAUAUUGGACAAUGGGCGCAAGCCUGAUCCAGCAAUGCCGCGUGGGUGAAGAAGGCCUUCGGGUUGUAAAGCCCUUUUGUACGGAAAGAAAUCCUGGUGGUUAAUACCCGCCGGGGAUGACGGUACCGUAAGAAUAAGCACCGGCUAACUUCGUGCCAGCAGCCGCGGUAAUACGAAGGGUGCAAGCGUUAAUCGGAAUUACUGGGCGUAAAGCGUGCGUAGGUGGUUUCUUAAGUCUGUCGUGAAAGCCCUGGGCUCAACCUGGGAAUGGCGAUGGAUACUGGGAGGCUAGAGUGCGGUAGAGGAUGGCGGAAUUCCCGGUGUAGCGGUGAAAUGCGUAGAGAUCGGGAGGAACAUCUGUGGCGAAGGCGGCCAUCUGGACCAGCACUGACACUGAGGCACGAAAGCGUGGGGAGCAAACAGGAUUAGAAACCCGAGUAGUCC
rnacentral:rRNA from 1 species